rnacentral:rRNA from 1 species
GACGAACGCUGGCGGCGUGCUUAACACAUGCAAGUCGAACGGUAAGGCCCUUCGGGGUACACGAGUGGCGAACGGGUGAGUAACACGUGGGUGAUCUGCCCUGCACUUCGGGAUAAGCCUGGGAAACUGGGUCUAAUACCGGAUAGGACUCCGGACUGCAUGGUCUGGGGUGGAAAGCUUUUGCGGUGUGGGAUGGGCCCGCGGCCUAUCAGCUUGUUGGUGGGGUGAUGGCCUACCAAGGCGACGACGGGUAGCCGGCCUGAGAGGGUGACCGGCCACAGUGGGACUGAGAUACGGCCCAGACUCCUACGGGGGGCAGCAGUGGGGAAUAUUGCACAAGGGGCGCAAGCCUGAUGCAGCGACGCCGCGUGAGGGAUGACGGCCUUCGGGUUGUAAACCUCUUUCAGCAUCGACGAAGCGAAAGUGACGGUAGGUGCAGAAGAAGGACCGGCCAACUACGGGCCAGCAGCCGCGGUAA